rnacentral:rRNA from 1 species
AGUGAACGCUGGCGGUAGGCCUAACACAUGCAAGUCGAACGGCAGCACAGUAAGAGCUUGCUCUUACGGGUGGCGAGUGGCGGACGGGUGAGGAGUACAUCGGAAUCUACUUUUUCGUGGGGGAUAACGUAGGGACACUUACGCUAAUACAGCAUACGCCCUACGGGUGAAAGCAGGGGAUCUUCGGACCUUGCGCGAUUGAAUGAGCCGAUGUCGGAUUAGCUAGUUGGCGGGGUAAAGGCCCACCAAGGCGACGAUCCGUAGCUGGUCUGAGAGGAUGGUCAGCCACACUGGAACUGAGACACGGUCCAGGCGCCUACGGGAGGCAGCAGUGGGGAAUAUUAGGCAAUGGGCGGAAGCAUGAUCCAGCCAUACCGCGUGGGUUGAGGAGGCCUUCGGGUUGUAAAGCCCUUUUGUUGGUAAAGAAAAGCAGCAGGUUAAUACCCAGCUGUUCUGACGGUACCCAAAGAAUAAGCACCGGCUAACUUCGUG